CUGCUGCCUCCCGUAGGAGUCUGGUCCGUGUCUCAGUACCAGUGUGGGGGACCUUCCUCUCAGAACCCCUACGCAUCGUCGCCUUGGUGGGCCGUUACCCCACCAACUAGCUAAUGCGCCGCAUGCCCAUCCGUCUCCGAUAUUCUUUCAAAACCAGACGAUGCCGUCCAGCUUCAUACGGGGUAUUAGACGCCGUUUCCGACGAUUAUCCCCCUGAGACGGGCAGGUUGCAUACGUGUUACUCACCGUGCGCCGGUUGCCGG
rnacentral:rRNA from 1 species